GAUGAACGCUGGCGGCGUGCCUAAUACAUGCAAGUCGAGCGAACAGACGAGGAGCUUGCUCCUCUGACGUUAGCGGCGGACGGGUGAGUAACACGUGGAUAACCUACCUUUAAGACUGGGAUAACUUCGGGAAACCGGAGCUAAUACCGGAUAAUAUAUUGAACCGCAUGGUUCAAUAGUGAAAGACGGUUUUGCUGUCACUUAUAGAUGGAUCCGCGCCGCAUUAGCUAGUUGGUAAGGUAACGGCUUACCAAGGCAACGAUGCGUAGCCGACCUGAGAGGGUGAUCGGCCACACUGGAACUGAGACACGGUCCAGACUCCUACGGGAGGCAGCAGUAGGGAAUCUUCCGCAAUGGGCGAAAGCUUGACGGAGCAACGCCGCGUGAGUGAUGAAGGUCUUCGGAUCGUAAAACUCUGUUAUUAGGGAAGAACAAAUGUGUAAGUAACUAUGCACGUCUUGACGGUACCUAAUCAGAAAGCCACGGCUAACUACGUG
rnacentral:rRNA from 1 species